rnacentral:rRNA from 1 species
UGAACGCUAGCGGGAUGCCUUACACAUGCAAGUCGAACGGCAGCACGGACUUCGGUCUGGUGGCGAGUGGCGAACGGGUGAGUAAUGUAUCGGAACGUGCCCAGUAGCGGGGGAUAACUACGCGAAAGCGUAGCUAAUACCGCAUACGCCCUACGGGGGAAAGCAGGGGAUCGCAAGACCUUGCACUAUUGGAGCGGCCGAUAUCGGAUUAGCUAGUUGGUGGGGUAACGGCUCACCAAGGCGACGAUCCGUAGCUGGUUUGAGAGGACGACCAGCCACACUGGGACUGAGACACGGCCCAGACUCCUACGGGAGGCAGCAGUGGGGAAUUUUGGACAAUGGGGGAAACCCUGAUCCAGCCAUCCCGCGUGUGCGAUGAAGGCCUUCGGGUUGUAAAGCACUUUUGGCAGGAAAGAAACGUCGUGGGUUAAUACCCCGCGAAACU